rnacentral:lncRNA from 1 species
UUGGAAGUGGGCCAUCAUAUCCCACAGGAAGGUGACAAUGGUCGGGAGGCAGCUGCAGGGCUGUGGAGAGGGGCUUUGUUUGCUGACUCAGUGAGAAUUUGAUUGCAGUGGAUCCUUCCUGUGUGCACAGCUCAUUUGAAAGCCUUUAGUGAUAAAGCUGGAAAAUACGGGUUUCCCAGUAGAGAACAGUCAAAGGGGCCUGGAGGCACACUGGGGAGGCCAGGUGGCAGGGCCCCCAGUGUGCAAAGCCAACAGCACAGGCCUGAAGUCACCAGGGGCUCUGGGCCCUGUUUACUCACCUGCCCAUCUGUAGGGCUCCAGCAACAUUCUAGAAAUCACAGGAUUUCUGCCUGUGGGGAGAAAUCUGCCUGGGGGAACCUGCAGGCUCCUUGGUCUUCCUCCUGGGACCCUCCCACCCUCCCCACGUGGGAACCAGCUUCUGCCACAAAACGUGCCCCCAUUUGGCACCCCUGUCUUCUCCAGGGGCUUGCACACCCAUAAACACUCCUGGAGCAGACAGAAAAGUGGUCUAGUUUUCUAGGUAAAACACGAAAUAAAGCUAACUUUUGUAAAAUCCCUAUUCAGUUAGAAUCUCAACAUAAAGAAUUAAGGGAACUGACAAAUAGUCAAAAAAGGAGAGACUUUUAUCCUGGGAGGACUGGGGCCAGCCCCAGGAACAGGGGGCAGCAGCAGGGUGCAGGUGGGAGCAGGGACAGGCCAGCAUGGAGUCCCCUGCCAGUCCUCCCUGACAUGGUGCUGGGUUUUCUCAGACUCUCUCUUCCACCAGAUACCUCUUCCCCUGGAGCGCUGACCCAUUUCAGACGGACACACAGAGACCCCUGCACUUCACAAGAGAAGCUUUCCAUGAAAGUAUUAGGGAAGCAAGCUUUUCGGAUGGGGAGCAUAUUAUUGGCAGGGUUUCUGCUCCCCAUGUGGGACGAGUGUCCAGGUAUGAGCAUAAUAUAAACUCCCCUGCCCACUGUCUUCCAGGGGAUGCAGGGGGAAGCCAGCCGACUGACUGCUGUGACCAGACCCGUGACCCAGUGACACCGGGAAGGAACUUGGUCCCUAGGGCCCAGGAAUUCCUGACAGGCGUUUCUGAUGACCCAGAGAGGUGCAUCUGGGCUGCUUGCCCCCCGUCCUCCCGCAGUGCCGCGUCUCCCAGAGCUGAGGAGCACGGGAGUCUUCAUCCCUCCAGUGGAGUGCCAGUCGGUAAGGGCUUGGGAAGGGGAGCCGGCACCAGAGCCCCUGGCUGGGGCUCCCUGUGUGGGGAGCCCAGGAAGCCCACAGCCCUGAGUCCCUCCCCGCCCGCACCUCCAGGGAGGGGCUGUCCUAGCCCCGUUUCCCAGAGAGAAAGUAGGGAAUAAAAGACACCGGACCACUUGCCUCGAGCUUGCCGGUCAGUGACACUUCGGGCUUUGGAACCCCUGUCUGGACCCAGAACCUUCCUUACCCACCUCUCCUGGGAUCUCCAAACUCCAGAGGGCAUCGGACUCACUGGGGG